CAAGUACAGACAAGGUAUUGUAGGAAGUCCGAAGACAUUUGUUCCUAAAAAAUACCAGCUUCAAACCAUCCCUAUCAAUUCAUCCAAGAUUUAACAGAGAUCUAUAAGGGGGUUUAGGAAGGUGUGAUGACAUCCAUUUGCUUGUCUGCAAAGAUGCUGGGGAAACAUCAUACGAGAAGUACACACUAUCUUGAAUUCGCUCAAUUUCAUGGUUGGCAACACAUUAGAUAGCGUCGCACUUUAUUUUAAGAAGCAUAAAAUCCAUUGGCAUUCAAUGUUUCAACAAGGUGUUUUCAAUGUUUUCAACAAGGUGUUUUGAACCAAACUCACA
rnacentral:lncRNA from 1 species